rnacentral:rRNA from 1 species
AACAGGAUCUGUAGCAAUACAGAUUGCUGACGAGCGGCGGACGGGUGCGUAAUACGUAGGAAUCUGCCCUUUAGAGUGGGAUAACCUGGGGAAACUCGGGCUAAUACCGCAUAAUCUCGAGAGAGCAAACGCCGCAGCAAUGCGGUGGCUGAAGGAGGGGCUUACGUCCGAUUAGCUAGUUGGCGGGGUAAAGGCCUACCAAGGCGAUGAUCGGUAGCUGGUCUGAGAGGACGACCAGCCACACUGGGACUGAGACACGGCCCAGACUCCUACGGGAGGCAGCAGUGGGGAAUCUUGGACAAUGGGGGCAACCCUGAUCCAGCGAUGCCGCGUGGGUGAAGAAGGCCUUCGGGUUGUAAAGCCCUUUAGGCCGGGACGAAGGUAAUUACAUGAAUAAGGUAGUUGCUUGACGGUACCGGCGAAAUAAGCACCGGCUAACUCUGUGCCAGCAGCCGCGGUAAUACAGAGGGUGCGAGCGUUAAUCGGAAUUACUGGGCGUAAAGGGCGCGUAGGCGGUAAGAUGUGAGAGAUGUGAAAGCCCCGGGCUUAACCUGGGAAGUGCAUCUUUAACUAUCUAACUAGAGUGCAGCAGAGGGUGGCGGAAUUUCCGGUGUAGCGGUGAAAUGCGUAGAUAUCGGAAGGAACGUCGGUGGCGAAGGCGGCCACCUGGGCUGACACUGACGCUGAGGCGCGAAAGCGUGGGGAGCGAACAGGAUUAGAUACCCUGGUAGUCCACGCUGUAAACGAUGAGAACUAGAUGUGGGAGGGGCGACCUUUCCGUAUCGAAGCUAACGCGAUAAGUUCUCCGCCUGGGGAGUACGGCCGCAAGGUUGAAACUCAAGGGAAUUGACGGGGGCCCGCACAAGCGGUGGAGCAUGUGGUUUAAUUCGAUGCAACGCG